GACGAACGCUGGCGGCAUGCUUUACACAUGCAAGUCGAACGGCAGCACGGGCUUCGGCCUGGUGGCGAGUGGCGAACGGGUGAGUAAUGCAUCGGAACGUGCCCAUUUGUGGGGGAUAACUACGCGAAAGCGUGGCUAAUACCGCAUACGCCCUGAGGGGGAAAGCGGGGGAUUCUUCGGAACCUCGCGCAAUUGGAGCGGCCGAUGUCAGAUUAGCUUGUUGGUGAGGUAAAGGCUCACCAAGGCGACGAUGGGUAGCCGGCCUGAGAGGGUGAACGGCCACACUGGGACUGAGACACGGCCCAGACUCCUACGGGAGGCAGCAGUAGGGAAUCUUCCGCAAUGGGCGCAAGCCUGACGGAGCGACGCCGCGUGAGUGAUGAAGGCCUUCGGGUCGUAAAGCUCUGUUCUUGAGGACGAAUAAGCCAGGGAGUGGAAAGCCCUGGUGAUGACUGUACUCAAGGAGAAAGCUCCGGCUAACUACGUGCCAGCAGCCG
rnacentral:rRNA from 1 species